AACGAACGCUGGCGGCAGGCUUAACACAUGCAUGUCGAACGCAUCCUUCGGGGUGAGUGGCAGACGGGUGAGUAACGCGUGGGAACGUGCCCUUCAGUUCGGAAUAACCCAGGGAAACUUGGGCUAAUACCGGAUACGUGCGAGAGCAGAAAGAUUUAUCGCUGAAGGAUCGGCCCGCGUCUGAUUAGCUAGUUGGUGAGGUAAUGGCUCACCAAGGCGACGAUCAGUAGCUGGUCUGAGAGGAUGAUCAGCCACAUUGGGACUGGGACACGGCCCAAACUCCUACGGGAGGCAGCAGUGGGGAAUAUUGGACAAUGGGCGCAAGCCUGAUCCAGCCAUGCCGCGUGAGUGAUGAAGGCCUUAGGGUUGUAAAGCUCUUUCAGUGGGGACGAUAAUGACGGUACCCGCAGAAGAAGCCCCGGCUAACUUCGUGCCAGCAGCCGCGGUAA
rnacentral:rRNA from 1 species